rnacentral:rRNA from 1 species
GACGAACGCUGGCGGCGCGCUUAACACAUGCAAGUCGAGCGAGAACCUGGGCUUCGGCCCAGGGGACAGCGGCGAACGGGUGAGUAACACGUGGAUAACCUGCCCUCGGCACCGGGAUAGCCCGGGGAAACUCGGAUUAAUACCGGAUGGCCCUUCCGGCUCUCGAGCCGGUCGGAAAAGGUAGCUUCGGCCUCCGGCCGAGGAUGGGUCCGCGGCGGAUUAGCUUGUUGGUGGGGUAAUGGCCUACCAAGGCUCCGAUCCGUAGCUGGUCUGAGAGGACGAUCAGCCACACUGGGACUGAGACACGGCCCAGACUCCUACGGGGGGCAGCAGUGGGGACUCUUGCGCAAUGGGCGAAAGCCUGACGCAGCGACGCCGCGUGAGGGAGGAAGGCCUUCGGGUUGUAAACCUCUUUCAGGAGGGACGAAGCUACUCGGGUGAAUAGCCCAGAGGGUGACGGUACCUCCAGAAGAAGCCCCGGCUAACUACGUGCCAGCCGCCGCCGUAACAC